rnacentral:rRNA from 1 species
UGGGGAAUAUUGCACAAUGGGGGAAACCCUGAUGCAGCGACGCCGCGUGAACGAAGAAGGUAUUCGUAUCGUAAAGUUCUGUCCUAUGGGAAGAUAAUGACAGUACCAUAGAAGAAAGCUCCGGCUAAAUACGUGCCAGCAGCCGCGGUAAUACGUAUGGAGCGAGCGUUGUCCGGAAUUAUUGGGCGUAAAGGGUACGCAGGCGGUUUAAUAAGUCGAAUGUUAAAGAUCGGGGCUCAACCCCGUAAAGCAUUGGAAACUGAUAAACUUGAGUAGUGGAGAGGAAAGUGGAAUUCCUAGUGUAGUGGUGAAAUACGUAGAUAUUAGGAGGAAUACCAGUAGCGAAGGCGACUUUCUGGACACAAACUGACGCUGAGGUACGAAAGCGUGGGGAGCAAACAGGAUUAGAUACCCUGGUA